rnacentral:rRNA from 1 species
UUGAACGCUGGCGGCGUGCCUAACACAUGCAAGUCGCACGCGAAAGGGGGCAACCCCGAGUAGAGUGGCGGACGGGUGAGAAAUGCUUGGGAAUCUACCUCGUAGUGGGGGACAACCUAGGGAAACUUAGGCUAAUACCGCAUACGACCUACGGGAGAAAGCGGAGGACCGCAAGGCUUCGCGCUAUGAGAUGAGCCCAAGUCCGAUUAGCUAGUUGGUGAGGUAAAGGCUCACCAAGGCAACGAUCGGUAGCUGGUCUGAGAGGACGACCAGCCACACUGGGACUGAGACACGGCCCAGACUCCUACGGGAGGCAGCAGUGGGGAAUAUUGGACAAUGGGGGCAACCCUGAUCCAGCGACGCCGCGUGGGUGAAGAAGGCCUUCGGGUUGUAAAGCCCUUUCGAUGGAGAAAAAAGCGUCAGACCUAACACGUCUGGCUUUGAUGGUAUCCAGAGAAGAAGCACCGGCUAACUCUGU